GACGAACGCUGGCGGCGUGCUUAACACAUGCAAGUCGAACGCAGUGGCGAACGGGUGAGUAACGCGUAAUCAACCUGCCCUUCAGAGGGGGACAACAGUUGGAAACGACUGCUAAUACCGCAUACUGAAGGUGGGGAUUGCGUCGGAUUAGCUAGUUGGGGGGGUAACGGCCCACCAAGGCGAUGAUCAGUAGCCGGUCUGGGAGGAUGAACGGCCACAUUGGGACUGAGACACGGCCCAGACUCCGACGGGAGGCAGCAGUGGGGAAUCUUCCGGAAUGGACGAAAGUCGGACGAAGCAACGCCGCGGGAGGGAUGACGGCCUUCGGGUUGGAAAGCUCUGUUAAUCGGGACGCGGUACCGGAAUAGAAAGCCACGGCUAACUACGUGCCAGCAGCCGCGGUAAUAC
rnacentral:rRNA from 1 species